rnacentral:rRNA from 1 species
GGAGGUCACUGCUAUUGGGAUUCGGCUAAGCCAUGCAAGCGGAGGGCGCGGUCGAAAGAUCGUGGCCCCGCACACUGCUCAGUAACACGUAGUCAACCUACCCUUGGGACGGGGACAACCUCGGGAAACUGAGGCUAAUCCCCGAUAGGUGAGGGACGCUGGAAUGCCUCCUCGCCCAAAGCUCCGGCGCCCAAGGAUGGGACUGCGGUCUAUCAGGCUGUUGGUGGUGUAACGGACCACCAAACCUACGACGGGUACGGGCGAUGGGAGUCGGAGCCCGGAGAUGGGGACUGAGACAAGGCCCCAGGCCCUACGGGGCGCAGCAGGCGCGAAAACUCCGCAAUGCGCGCAAGCGUGACGGGGGAAUCCCAAGUGCCGUUGGUCUUAUGAUCGACGGUUUUUAGGAAGUCUAAGAAGCUUCCAGAAUAAGGGCUGGGCAAGACUGGUGCCAGCCGCCGCGGUAACACCAGCAGCCCAAGUGGUGACCACGAUUAUUGGGCCUAAAGCGCUCGUAGCCGGAUCAGCAAGUCCCUUGUGAAAUCGGGCCGCCUAACGGUUCGGCGUGCAAGGGAUACUGUUGGUCUUGAGGCCGGGAGAGGUCGGAGGUACUCCUGGGGUAGCGGUGAAAUGCUCUAAUCCUAGGGGGACCACCAGUGGCGAAGGCGUCCGACCAGAACGGACCUGACGGUGAGGGGCGAAGGCUAGGGGAGCGAACGGGAUUAGAUACCCCGGUAGUCCUAGCUGUAAAGCAUGCGGGCCAGGUGUCUAGCGCUCCUUGAGGGCGCUAGGUGCCGGANGGAANCCGUUAAGCCCGCCGCCUGGGAAGUACGGCCGCAAGGCUGAAACUUAA